UGGCUAGGAAACCCCGCACAUACAGUGAGAGGUGAAACCAAGAUGGCGGCUGCGCAGUGACUGAGACAGAAGGACACCAACAGGCAGCGCCUCAAACCACUCAACCCGUUCGCCGAGGGGGCUCGUUUCCUUGCUGGGUGCCCGGAAAGGAAAGAGCUGUGCGGAGUGCGCGGGGGAGCUCGGCCUCGGCCUUAACAGCAGCGAGAGCAGCGGGAGCAGGGAGAACAUGGCGGCGGCGGCGGCAGCGUCGAGCUAGGAGUGCAGCCGUCGCUGCUCGUGAGGGGAGCUCCUGCGGGUGACGGGACGCUGAGCCCGCCCGCGCGCCCGGCCCACACGGCCUCCUUCCUCUCCCCGCCCUCCUCCAAGCAGGCAAGCAGCGUCCCCCGCCCCCACCUUAGGCCGCGGCCUUUUCUGCGAAGAAGGGGCGGCUCCGCCUCGGUCCCCUGAGCUGACCAACGGAGAGCCAGAGAAGGGGCUUCGGGCCUGGGAGCGCCUUGCACAAUAGGGGCGGCUGGAGGGCGAGCUGACCCCCCCUUCCUCUACGCGCCCCCCUUUCGCUUCUGUCACCCCAUCCUGUCGCCUCUCCUCCCAAUUGCGCCCCUUGAUCAUCCCACGUUUUCUUCCUCCCCAUUCACCUGGCUGCUUCUUGGGGUGGGGGCGGGGUGUGGCUCGCUCAUCUUUCCCACUCACCUUCCCCGUCAGUGACCUGCUGCUUUCUCUCUCCUCAGUAUUCUGACCCCGCUGCCUCCGUUCUGUCAACUGGACCACCUCAGAUCUGCUCCCUUAACUAGUGCCAAUCUUUCCCCCUAGGCAAUGUCUGCCGUCCUUUCAAAGUGCUUUUUGUCACCUGUGUAACGUUGGCUCCUUUCUAGAUCAUCUUUCCUAUUUUUAAACAAUUAUUUUCAGAGCCUCCUUGUUCUCUGCUGCUUCCUCUCAACUCUAGCUACUUCCUGUUCUCUCUCACAUUCUGCAAACUGCUACAGCUUCACGGAAGGAGUCCUGCACUUCCCAUAGUACUGUUGCCUCCCAUUUUGCUUUGCCCCCUUUUGGGGAUGAUGAGGCAGCUACUUUAGCAGCGGUCAGAACGAGAAUUGUUUGAAGUAUUGUGUUGGGCUCUUCUUCUUUUUCCUGCUCUCCUUUACUGAGGGGGGCAAAGCCCCCCACACACACCUUAUUCUGAUCAAGUAAAAUAGGCCUUUGUGGUGUGGCAAGAGGCAGGAUGACUGAUACCCGGAGGAGGGUGAAGGUUUAUACUCUGAAUGAAGACCGGCAGUGGGAUGAUCGUGGCACUGGGCAUGUGUCCUCUGGCUAUGUGGAAAGGCUGAAGGGUAUGUCCCUGCUAGUCAGGGCUGAGAGUGAUGGUUCUCUUCUUCUGGAGUCCAAAAUCAAUCCAAAUACUGCAUACCAGAAGCAACAGGACACACUAAUUGUGUGGUCUGAAGCGGAGAAUUAUGACCUGGCACUUAGCUUUCAAGAAAAAGCUGGAUGUGAUGAAAUAUGGGAAAAAAUAUGUCAGGUUCAAGGGAAAGACCCUUCAGUGGACAUUACUCAAGACCUGGUGGAUGAAUCUGAAGAGGAACGCUUUGAUGAUAUGUCAUCACCAGGUCUAGAAUUGCCAUCUUGUGAAUUAAGUCGACUAGAAGAAAUAGCGGAACUUGUGGCAUCUUCACUGCCUUCCCCACUUCGUCGUGAAAAACUUGCUUUAGCACUGGAAAAUGAAGGCUAUAUUAAGAAGCUCUUAGAAAUUUUUCAUGUGUGUGAGGACUUGGAGAACAUUGAAGGACUACACCAUUUGUAUGAAAUUAUUAAGGGAAUCUUCCUUUUGAACAGAACUGCUCUUUUUGAAGUCAUGUUUUCUGAGGAAUGUAUAAUGGAUGUAAUUGGAUGCCUAGAAUAUGAUCCUUCUUUAUCACAGUCACGAAAACACAGGGAAUUUCUGACAAAAACUGCAAAAUUUAAAGAAGUUAUUCCAAUAUCUGACCCAGAGUUGAAACAAAAAAUACACCAGACAUACAGAGUACAGUAUAUUCAAGACAUGGUUCUACCUACUCCUUCGGUAUUUGAGGAAAAUAUGUUAUCAACGCUUCACUCGUUCAUCUUUUUUAAUAAAGUAGAAAUAGUUGGUAUGCUACAGGAAGAUGAAAAAUUUUUGACAGACCUGUUUGCACAACUUACAGAUGAAGCUACAGAUGAGGAGAAAAGGCAAGAAUUGGUAAAUUUUCUUAAAGAGUUUUGUGCAUUUUCUCAAACAUUGCAACCUCAAAACAGAGAUGCUUUUUUCAAAACAUUGUCUAAUAUGGGCAUUCUUCCAGCACUAGAAGUCAUCCUAGGAAUGGAUGAUGCACAGGUGCGAAGCGCAGCUACUGAUAUAUUCUCCUAUUUGGUUGAAUAUAACCCAUCUAUGGUACGAGAAUUUGUCAUGCAAGAAGCUCAGCAAAAUGAUGAUGAUAUCUUACUCAUUAACCUCAUCAUAGAACACAUGAUUUGUGAUACAGAUCCUGAACUUGGAGGAGCAGUCCAACUGAUGGGUCUAUUGCGUACCUUAGUGGAUCCAGAAAAUAUGCUAGCUACUGCCAAUAAAACAGAAAAAACAGAGUUCUUGGGGUUCUUUUACAAACACUGUAUGCAUGUCCUCACAGCACCUUUAUUGGCCAAUACCACAGAGGAAAAACCUAGCAAAGAUGACUUCCAGAUAGCCCAAUUAUUGGCCUUGAUAUUGGAAUUGUUAACUUUCUGUGUAGAACAUCAUACAUACCAUAUAAAGAACUACAUCAUUAACAAGGAUAUCCUCCGAAGAGUGCUAGUUCUGAUGGCUUCAAAACAUGCUUUCUUGGCACUAUGUGCUCUUCGUUUUAAAAGAAAAAUAAUUGGGUUGAAGGAUGAAUUCUACAAUCGCUAUAUAAUGAAAAGUUUUUUGUUUGAACCAGUGGUCAAAGCAUUUCUCAACAAUGGAUCCCGCUAUAAUCUGAUGAAUUCUGCUAUUAUAGAGAUGUUUGAAUUUAUCAGAGUGGAAGACAUAAAAUCCUUAACCGCUCAUGUAAUUGAGAAUUACUGGAAAGCACUAGAAGAUGUAGAUUAUGUGCAGACAUUCAAAGGUUUGAAAUUGCGUUAUGAACAACAAAGGGAAAGACAAGAUAAUCCCAAACUUGACAGCAUGCGUUCCAUCUUGAGAAACCAUAGAUACCGGAGAGAUGCAAGGACCCUGGAGGACGAGGAAGAAAUGUGGUUCAACACUGACGAAGAUGACAUGGAAGAUGGAGAGACAGUGGUGCCACCAUCUGACAAAAGUAAAAAUGAUGAAGAUAUUAUGGAUCCUAUAAGUAAAUUUAUGGAAAGAAAAAAAUUUAAAGAAAGUGAAGAAAAGGAGGUCCUUCUGAAAACGAAUCUUUCAGGUCGUCAGAGCCCAAGUUUUAAACUUUCCUUCUCUAGUGGUACAAAGGCUAACCUCACCAGCCAGUCAUCUGCCAGUAAUUUACCUGGGUCUCCAGGGUCACCGGGAUCUCCUGGGUCACCGGGAUCGCCUGGAUCAGUUUCUAAAAGCACAUCUCAGAUGGCAGCUAUAACUACCAAGCAGAGUACCUAACUGACAACAGCUGGGCCUACAUAGGUCCUCCAGCUAUAUCCAGUCAGGUCUCUGUCAAACAUAACAGGGAGGCCUGGUGGGCCUUGUAGAUUAUCCAGAUGAUGAUGACGAGGAUGAUGAAGAAAGUCUACCUUUGUCACAGAAAACAAAGCUAGAGUCAUCAUAAUGACAGCUCUGAAGAUCAGUUGGGGUAUAAACUAGCCCUCUAGAGGAGAAAAAAGUCCAUAAUUGAACGCUGCAAUCUCUAACUACUGUGUAUAACACAGAUCAUCUUUAAAACAUGGAUUUCUGCUAAUCAAGUGCCAAUUUGAAGGAGCAGAAGAAGAGGAAAUGCUACGUUUAAUGGAAAAGACAUGCCUUUGACCUCUCCAGCUUGGACCACAUAAUAUUGCCCUUUUCUCAGGGAAGGAAAUGGAAAUAUAUAUAUAUAUAUAUAUAUAUAUAUAUAUAUAUAUAUAUAUAUAUAUAUAUAUAUAUAAAAAAGCCAACAGGGCAGGAGUUUUGGUAGUGGAACUCUGGAUUGGCUGUUCAGUUGCUACAAUCAGAAUAUGCUUUCUUGACCAUAUAUGGAACUUUGAAGAAAAAGGCUUUUCUGCCAUAAUUCUUCACUAGCUGAGAAUGCCAGCAGUUUCUUUGUAUAAAGAGACCUGCCUUUUGAAACCAUACAUUCUGAACAUUUUAGUCAAGCCACCACAGGUUUUAAAAAGAACUCUUUGGGGGAGGGUUGAACAUAAGUUUCCUCUUUUUUAAAAAAAAAAAAUCUGUUCCCUUUUGCCCUUUAAACUGCAGAAUUUUGUUUGGAGGUGGGGGAUUUGUUUAUCCCUUGAUUAAAGAUUGAAUGGAAUUCUAGAUGUGGUCACUUUGUGUCAUAAUUUUAUUUUUAUUUUGCCCCACACACACCCCUGAGUGUAUACUUAGUUGUUGAGUAUAUAUUUGGGACCAUUAAAAUUUUUUUGAUGUAAUAUAAAUCUUGCUGUUGUGCUGGUACCUGUUUCACCUGUGUAAUUCUGUUCUACAUCACAAUUCUUAAUUUGUUUAGGAUUUUAUGGGAGAUGGUAUAGUUUUUAUUUAAAAAAAAGAGCAAAUUAACCUUGCCACAAUGUGCAUACAAAAGCAAUACUAUUUUGUGACUAAAUAUUUUAUAUUAAACUUUACAUCAUCAACUGUCUUGAAACAA